CCUACGGGAGGCAGCAGUGGGGAAUAUUGGACAAUGGGGGGAACCCUGAUCCAGCCAUGCCGCGUGUGUGAAGAAGGCCCUCGGGUUGUAAAGCACUUUCAGUGAGGAAGAACGCCUGGUGGUUAAUACCCAUCAGGAAAGACAUCACUCACAGAAGAAGCACCGGCUAACUCCGUGCCAGCAGCCGCGGUAAUACGGAGGGUGCGAGCGGUAAUCGGAAUUACUGGGCGUAAAGCGCGCGUAGGUGGCUUGAUAAGCCGGUUGUGAAAGCCCCGGGCUCAACCUGGGAACGGCAUCCGGAACUGUCAAGCUAGAGUGCAGGAGAGGAAGGUAGAAUUCCCGGUGUAGCGGUGAAAUGCGUAGAGAUCGGGAGGAAUACCAGUGGCGAAGGCGGCCUUCUGGACUGACACUGACACUGAGGUGCGAAAGCGUGGGUAGCAAACAGGAUUAGAUAUCCUGGUAGUC
rnacentral:rRNA from 1 species